AGCAGGUUUGAGUUGAGCGCAGCGAAACAACGGAGCCGCUCGCGGCGACGGCCCGAAGGGCUAGCGAAGCGAGUCAUCCUGCACGACCCACCA
rnacentral:sRNA from 1 species